ACUGUCAGCUCCAACCCCCCCCGGAGGACGUGUAUCGGGGCGCCGAAAUUCGGCCAGGGAAAGGAGAGAGAAAUCAGGCUGAGGACAAGAACUGCCGAACAGAACGCCGCUCGGAGGACGCUCGCUCUCCCCUCCCCGCCCCCAGCUCUCCCCCCUCGCACCUCCCACAGCUCUCACCUGCACUACCUUGCACUGAGAGGCUUCAGAGAUCCUAGCAGCUGGCACUGUGAGCUACUUUGGUAGAAGUGUAAAAGUUUGUGUCCAAAAACAAGCACAGGCUGAAAGCAGGCCGAGAGCAAGGCACAGCCAGAUUCAGUUCUCUGUGUCCACCUGCACGCUGGGUUGCAGCUGCUGCAGUUGUGUGUACCCUUUAUCUGUUGCUGGAUGCUGAGAGCAAACCCAGACCUCAUAAAAAGAAAACUGUCACUACCAUUACGAUACUGUGCAUGCAGAUGAAGCUUGAUUCAAGUAUGGCAUUGAAGUCUUCUGACUGACCUGUCCCCACUAGUUAGGAGUUGCGUUUGCUUGCUUAAAUACAGUAAGCUGUUCUCACUUAUGGUAUGUCCUUUGCCAUAAAUAUCCCUCUGACAAAAUGGUUGUUUUGACAUCAUCCUCCAGUGGCUAGGAUGACCAAGCCUUGGAAAAAUACAGCACCUCCCUCAGAGCUGUGAUGGCCGUGCUGCUGCUUGCUGAUCCUCCCUCUGAUCUGUGCUUUUCCUUUACAGGACGCAGUUCUUAAUUGUGGCCCAAGUCCCUAUGGAACGUUUGCUCACCUGCACUGCAUUUUGCUUUGCAUAGUUUAGAGGAAAUUAACCAGCAAGACUUCAGGGCUGAGCUUUAAGAAUGGAAACAUACUCAGCUGCUUGAAAGAGACCAACUUUCUAAGGUCUGUGUCAGCCUGGGAAAUCCACCCUCUGUGGCCAAAUGCAAAUUGCAGCACAAUCCCAGGAGCCCCCAGGAAUGGAAAUCAUAGCCCUGGCAGGUCAGGAUGCAAAGCCAGCUUUCAGAAAACUGUUUUUCAGCAGCAGAGAGUUCAUGCUGAAUUCUGUGCUUGGUUGAUCUGAACAGAUUUUUAUACUAUGAUGAGCAAACCACGCUGUCUACCAAAUGAUGUCCAAAUCUUCUUUCUCACCCUUUACUUCCCUUUCCUGCAUGUGAAGAAGCAGCCCGCUGAUCAUCAGGGGCUCAGCUUGCCAUCAGGGAGCAUCAGCGGUCAUCUGAAAGCUUCGUUGGCUGUCAGAGGUCUCCACUGAUCAUCAGAGAUCUUCACUGAGGCCCCCUCAAGAUACCAAAGGCCCCAGUCUCUUCUCCAGGCUGCCAAAUUCGAUGCACAUCAAGAAAUGCUUCAUAAAAACAAGACAGUGGAACUAUAAAGACUAGAAUGUCUUUAACCUCAACAAAAUAAUUUCAGAAGUCAGAUAGACUCUGUUAUAGAAGCUUGUUACAUGAGAGCAAAUCUGACUGCAGGAAAACCAAAACCCUUUUGUGCUGGUGACUUUGAAAAGGACAGGUGCCUGUAUGAGAUGUCGGUGGCUGCAGAGGAUCUUCCAGAAGAAGGCAGCAGAACCUUAUGCUCACACUGCAUUACAGGAGCAGAAAACUACCGGGAAUCUCUAGGCUCAUCCUGGGAAGGCAAAACUGCACAGAGAUGCCCCAGCUGUGUUUGGCAGCGCCCUCCCACACUCAGA